rnacentral:lncRNA from 1 species
GUGGGUCUUCUCGCGAGGAGCAGGGUCUGGCACUCACCAGGGCCCACGACUAGGACUUCUCGAACGAAUCCGUCGUCGCCUUUUGCUUUUAGUCCUCUGAAGAACCCUGAAAAUAGAAAUCACGAACUUUUUUCCCCAUGAGGAAGUUUCGUUCUGUUUGUUGACAGAGUCUCACUCGGUGGCCCAGGCUGGAGUGCAGUGGUGCAAACUCGGCUCACUGCAGCCUCCACCAGCCUCCACCUCCCGGGGCCAAGCGAUCUUCUUGCCUCAGCCCCCAGAUAGCUGGGACAACAGGAGCGCCAUCACGCCCGGCUAAUUUUUGUAUUUUUUGUAUUGACAGGAUUUCGCCACGUCUCCCAGCCUGGUCGCGAAGGGGAACGGAACGGGAAUGAAUUGAGGGGAAAACGGAGAUAGAACCUGGAAGAGCCCAGAUGCGAGAACCUGUAGCUCCCAAGCAUAAGAUCUUCCAGAAGAGCUAGCCCGAAAACUAGGCGUCUGGGAACCCUGAAAUCCAUGCAGGAGUAGCAUCUCGUGACCCUCUGCGUUCCUUUAGGCAAAAGGACUUCCACUGUUUGUUUGUUCGAUUGCUUGUGUUUGUUAAAUAAAUAAAGCGCUUUCCACUCUGAAAUUG